AUGAGCAGCCGCCGCCCACGCUCACCGGCGGCCGCCCCGCCGCUGGAGGACGACAACCUCCUCUCCGAGAUCCUCCUCCGCCUCUCGCCAGAUCCGUCCUCCCUCCCUCGCGCCUCCCUCGUCUCCAAGCGCUGGCUCGGCCUCAUCUCUGACCCGGGCUUCUCCCGCCGCUUCCUUCUCCACCACCGCCGCAACCCUCCUCUCCUCGGUUUCUUCAACCCUUUCAAUUUCAAACCUGUAAUGGAUCCCCCCAAUCGUGUCCCGGAUGGCCGCUUCCCCUCGUGCGUCGACGAGGACGACGGCCUGGGCUGCUUCAUACCCUUGGGAUGCCGCCAUGGCCUCGUACUCAUCUUCCUCAAAUCGCAGAAGCAGAUCCUGGUGCGGGACCCCUUCAACGGCGAGAAGCACCGCCUACCUGUCCCCCCCUUGUUCGAUGCGGAAGUGACCCCGAUCAGCGGGUCGGUGUUUCGUGCUGCGGGAGACAUCCAACACUUCCAGGUGGUCUUGGUAGGCACAGAGGUCGACAAACAACAACACACGCGGGCAAUCGCCUGUGUUUACUCAUCAGAGACUGGCGGUUGGGGUGAUAGAAUCUCAACACCGCUGCCAUCCAGAGCUUCUAUGGGUGAACUUCCUAACAAGAUUAACAUGUACUUCACUGUCAGUGUUCUAGUUGGGCAUUCCCUUUAUUGGUUGCUUAGGCACAUAUCGGCAGGAACUUGCACAUUGGAUGGGAUCCUUAAGUUUGAUUUGGAGAGGCAGAUCCUAGCUGUGAUACCAGCGCCAGUGGAUAUUGCCAAGAAUAAUAUUGGUCAACUCCAGGUUAUGCGCGCAGAUGGUGGUGGCCUUGGUAUUCUAUUUCUUUCAAAAUUAAGGGCUCAGUUAUGGAAGAGGGAGACUAAUUCUGAUGGUGUUGCUUCAUGGUUGUUGGGAAGAACUAUUGAACUGGAUAAGCUACUUUCCAUGAAUUCAAAGAAGUAUAGAGGGCCUGUAAUGAUACAAGGUUUUGCUGAGUACAAUAAUGUGGUGUUCCUACGGACAACUAUUGGUGACUUCAAGAUCCAGCUUGAGUCACUGCAGGUCAAGGAAGUUCCCAAUAGCCGCAUCUUGACUCUCUAUUAUCCAUUCGAAAGUGUCUAUGCUGCAGGUAUCUAG
rnacentral:rRNA from 1 species